UACGGAGGGAGCUAGCGUUGUUCGGAAUUACUGGGCGUAAAGCGCACGUAGGCGGCUAUUCAAGUCGGGGUGAAAGCCCGGGGCUCAACCCCGGAACUGCCCUCGAAACUAGAUAGCUAGAAUCUUGGAGAGGUCAGUGGAAUUCCGAGUGUAGAGGUGAAAUUCGUAGAUAUUCGGAAGAACACCAGUGGCGAAGGCGACUGACUGGACAAGUAUUGACGCUGAGGUGCGAAAGCGUGGGGAGCAAACAGGG
rnacentral:rRNA from 1 species